rnacentral:sRNA from 1 species
UUCGAAGGUUCGACUCGAGCGCCAGCGAGAGAGCGUUGCCGCAGGCAACGACCCGAAGGGCGAAGCGCGCAGCGCUGAGUAAUCCUUCCCCCACCACCA